GAUGAGCGCUGGCGGCGUGCCUAAUACAUGCAAGUAGAACGCUGAAGGAAGGAGCUUGCUCUUUCCGGAUGAGUUGCGAACGGGUGAGUAACGCGUAGGUAACCUGCCUGGUAGCGGGGGAUAACUAUUGGAAACGAUAGCUAAUACCGCAUAACAGUAGAUGUUGCAUGAUAUCUACUUAAAAGGUGCAAUUGCACCACUACCAGAUGGACCUGCGUUGUAUUAGCUAGUUGGUGAGGUAACGGCUCACCAAGGCGACGAUACAUAGCCGACCUGAGAGGGUGAUCGGCCACACUGGGACUGAGACACGGCCCAGACUCCUACGGGAGGCAGCAGUAGGGAAUCUUCGGCAAUGGACGGAAGUCUGACCGAGCAACGCCGCGUGAGUGAAGAAGGUUUUCGGAUCGUAAAGCUCUGUUGUAAGAGAAGAACGAGUGUGAGAGUGGAAAGUUCACACUGUGACGGUAUCUUACCAGAAAGGGACGGCUAACUACGUG
rnacentral:rRNA from 1 species